AUUGAACGCUGGCGGCAGGCUUAACACAUGCAAGUCGAACGAGUGGCGGACGGGUGAGUAAUACGUGGGAAUCUAGCUUAUGGAGGGGGAUAACUCCGUGAAACUGUAGCUCAUACCGCGUACCAUAGAUGGAGCCCAAGUGGGAUUAGGUAGUUGGUGAGGUAAAGGCGCACCAAUGUGGCGAUCUCUAGCUGGUCUGAGAGGAAGACGAGCCACACGGCGAAUGAGACAAGGCCCAGACUCCUACGCGAGGCAGCAGUGGUGAGUAGUGCGCAAGGGGCGCAACCAGAUGCAGCCAGGCGGCGUGUAUGAAGAAGGCCUUCGGGUUGUAAAGUUCUUUCGGUAGCGAGGCGUUAACUACAGAAGAAGCACCGGCUAACUCCGUGCCAGCAGCCGCGGUAAUUC
rnacentral:rRNA from 1 species